GGAGGAAUAUUGGACAAUGGGCGAAAGCCUGAUCCAACCAUGCCGCGUGAGUGAUGAAGGCCUUCGGGUUGUAAAGCUCUUUCGACGGGGAAGAUAAUGACCGUACCCGUAGAAGAAGCCACGGCUAAAUUCGUGCCAGCAGCCGCGGUAAUACGAAUGUGGCAAGCGUUGUUCGGAAUCACUGGGCGUAAAGAAUGCGUAGGCGGCUUGACAAGUCAGAAGUGAAAUCCCAGGGCUCAACCCUGGAACU
rnacentral:rRNA from 1 species